CACCUAUGUUCCUGUGAGCAUGGAUGAACCGUUACAUCCUCUAGGACUUUGUGACCUUGCAAGAGUGGAUACGGAGAUUUGAUUUAGAGCAUUCUGUGAAACCACUUCUAGCUGAUGCAUGCUACAGGCUUACCAGGAUCCACAUCAUUGCUGUUUUUGAGGAAAAAACAAGGCCCCAUCUACAGGACCACAGAAUAAGGAAGCUGAGAGAAAACUCUAGAUCGACACCUGCACUGUUCCAGCCAAG